GCUGAACUGCAAAAGGUUCUUCACAAGAAGUAGUGCAAAUUAACGCGUAUUCCGUUCACGCGAGCGAAGAACAGUUCGAGCUUAUAUUCUAUGUAGGUGCUGUUUUGCCUUUACAAAUUUCGUCUAGUGAGAGAAUAAUUUACCUUUUCAUACUAAUACUAACAUAACAUAAAUUCGAAAAGCUUUCCUACAAUUUAAAUUUAGAUGACCAGAAAGUUUAUAACCAGCAUAAUGAAAUACAUCAUUGCCAUAGCGCAGCUGACGAUUUUUGGAUUUGUUAUUCAAUGUGAUCUAACGAAUGCGCAAAUGGCCGUUUUCAACCAAGAAGUUAACACUAUCGAUGAAGGUUGCACUUUCACUACGGGUUGCAAUUUCAAUAAUCUAUCAUGCCGUUACUUGAGCUACCUCAAUUCAUCAAUUAAUAAAGCGCACUAUUCGGAUUUGGAAUCGGUAUUGGAUGCGGUACAGAACGGUGAUGCAUCUGGUGCGCUCUAUUUCACCGAUAACUUCACAGAUGCUUUGGUAGCACGAAUUGCAUUGGGUUCUGAUGCUGAUGAUGAGACAAAACAACAAUCGGAAAUUCGCGUUUGGCUUGACAUAUCCAAUCAGGCGAAAUAUAAUGUAACUAAAACUUUUGUGGAAGCGGCUUAUCAAGAGUUUUCAAAGCAACUGGUACACGAAUGCAAUCAGUUGCGAGUAAAU